GCACGGGACGAAAAAGGGAUAUCGAACAAAUAUCCCCGAUGACGGUACCGUGAGAAUAAGCCACGGCUAACUCUGUGCCAGCAGCCGCGGUAAGACAGAGGUGGCAAGCGUUGUUCGGAAUUACUGGGCGUAAAGAGUCUGUAGGUGGUUUGUCAAGUCUUUGGUGAAAGGCCGUAGCUUAACUAUGGGAAUGCCAAAGAGACUGGCAGGCUGGAGGCUGGGAGAGGGAAGCGGAAUUUCUGGUGUAGCGGUGAAAUGCGUAGAUAUCAGAAGGAAGGCCGGUGGCGAAGGCGGCUUCCUGGAACAGUCCUGACACUGAGAGACGAAAGCGUGGGGAGCAAACAGGAUUAGAUACCCUGGUAGUCCACGCCCUAAACGAUGGGUACUAAGUGUGGAGGGGUUAAACCCUCCGUGCCGCAGCAAACGCAGUAAGUACCCCGCCUGGGGAGUACGGCCGCAAGGUUGAAACUC
rnacentral:rRNA from 1 species